GAUAAUUCACGGAAUCGCCAACUUCGCCUCGCCGAAAAAAGGCCUGAUGCUCCUCUCCGGAAUGCAGCCUUCCGAUGCUAUUCACUUCUAAAUUGCUCAGGUUUUCAAAACUACACAGCUCCAAAAUUUCAUCCAAGACACCGCUGUUCUCUUCUUCGAGGGAAAACGGACACCCCAGGAAUUCAGACAGUCUCCUCAAUUGAACCCUGGGCUCCCUUUUCAUUUCCUCGUACUUCAAGAAAAAUACCCUAUGAGGCCUUUCCAGGCUCUCCUUCCAAUAGCCCAAAACAUGGUCCCAAAAUGGCCCGUACAAACUCACUCCCCUACAGAAUUUAUCGAGGGUCUCUUCAAGUGAACUAGCACCCCAAUCAACGGGUCUCAACUUGUUAGUGAAGUGCCAAAGGGACACGAAAGUGUCCUUAGGAUUCCUACACAAGUAAACAAGCUUGCAAUCAGAGUCCUCCACAGAUCUGGGAAGUGACAAGAGUGGGAGAUGAGUUGAAAACAGCCUAGGAAUAGUGAAGUUGGUGAAGUCAAGAUUCUCUUUGCCAAUGUAUUCCAUCUCCAAGAAAGGCACAAGAGCAUGAGGGUUGUUAGCGAGCAAAGGGUGUUGUGUAGUGUCAGGAAAGGAAACCCGAUUCACCAAGGCAAACAUCAAGGCCUUUAACCAAGUAGAGCCUGAUUUAGGAGUGGUGACAAGAAAGAUAUCGCCAUCUUGGGCUUGGAAGUGUUUUUGGCAAGCUAGGACCCCUUGAAGUUGCCUAGUUGAGUGCCAAAAACCUUGGUAUUGAUGGACAUGUUUUGCAAUCCAGCCUUUCUCAGUGGGCAUAGAGGCUAUCAAGUCUUUGAAUUCCUGGGAGGUUUCAUUUUCUUGCAAGAAUACGGGAAGAGACAGAGAUUGCUCGGGGCCUGCCAUUGUAGCUCAAGAAGGAGUGCUUUGAGAUUUUUAGGGUUGAGUGAUAUAUUUAAGCUGAUCCUUAUAUCAUUCCCGUUAACAUUAUAUAGACCUGGAAGAACCCACCUCAUACUUUCAGUGAUAUGAUGAGAAAUAAAUAAAUAACAAAAUAAUAUAUACAAAAGUACAGAAGCAGGCAAGGGAGAGGGUGAACUUGUGACGACGACCCUUGACCUUUGGUUCCUUUUAAGAUCCUCCUGAAAAUCAUGUUCGAUUUGUUAGUUGAGAGGCUGCUAUUAACAGACCCGCCUUCAUUUUUUUAUAUCAAAUUGGGUACAAUAAAAAGGUUGAACGAAAAACCUUAUGGUCUUCUCUGUGCACCCAUGCCAUGACACGUGUUGUUAUGGCAAUUAUUUAAUGUAUAUUUUGCUGCGUGAAUUAAUGAAUUUCACCAUGUGAUCGCCUUGUAUUGAUUGUUACCAUUUUGCUCCAAACUUUCUAUGAACAAAUUCAUAUUAGAAAUAGCAGUGACAAUAAUUUUGCCCAGCGGCCAAGCAGCAUAUAUGCCUUUAAAAAAUGAUAUGAUCACACGGGAUACGGCCCUCGCUUUCAGUACAUAAGGCAUUUAAUCGUAGAAUAACAGGUUGGUGUGGACUGCCUAGCUAGAGCUUAUCAAAUUUAUUUUUAAAAGGGCCAGAUAUGAAUAUUCAGGAAUUGUUUUUUUCUUUGGGUCUAAAAAGAAAACUUCUGAACACCAACUUCUGAAAUAUGCACAUUUAAUGUUUCAGAGAUUAUUUUACUCAUACAAGUAAAAAAAAGGGUUAUUUAAAGAAAUAAUUAAUAUCCCAGAGCUAGUAUGUGAAGUUAAUUUAAAGGUAUUUUUAGCAACAUUUAUAUCUGCUCUAUCAUAGGUAUAUGAUAUUAUGAAACAGAAUAUUCAAGAUAAUAUUAAUCUGCAGAAUAUUCAUGGAAGGAAAACAUUAACUAUAUGCUAAUUAGUCUGGAAGGUAAUUAAAACUCUUUCAACUAACCAAUUAAAAAUUCACAUCCUGAAUUCCAAACCAAACAUAACUCCAUUAUGUUCUGUUACAUGUGUUGUGGCACUGUUUGUUUGUGCGACAGACCGUUUUUUUUAAGAUUUUUUUAUUUUUUAUCUUAAAAUUAAUUUUUAUGUUGUUUGAGAUUGUUUUAAUGUAUUCAUAUCAAAAAUAAAAAUAUUAUUUUAAUAUAAUACUAAAAAUAGCAUUUUAAAAAACAAUAUAUACUGUAAUUCUAAACACGCUAAUUAUCUCAUCUCUGUUAUCACGUCUCAUUUAUCCUAUCUAUGACAGUGUUUGGGAACAUAAUUAAAUCAUAUUUCCUAAAAAUUUGGCUUAAAAUUCAUUCAUUUUUUAUUUUUAGAUUGUUUUAAUAUAUUAAUUUUAAAAAUAUAAAAUAAAUAAUUUUUAAUACAAUUAUAAAUUAAAAAUAAUUUAAAUCAUAAUUACUAUUACUGAACACUUUAUAAAUCAAACUGUAGCACAGGAAGGGUGGCAAAAAUUAGAGGGGAGGGUAUACAUAUUUUGACCCAGCAAGCUCACGAGGACCCAAGAAAAUAGUGGGCUGGAGCCCAUUACUCGGCUCCUGACAAUUACAGAAGCUGCCAGGCCGGAGUGCACCGUUGACUGGGCUCUAGGAAUUGAAAAUGAUCGUCCGAAUUCACUCGCUCUAGAAAGCCCAGAGCAGCAUUUUUCAGUUGUAAAGUGGAAGAUGUGAUUUGUGGGCUUUGACACGUGGAUCUAUAAAUUAUUUGAGAGCUGGGCUCUCGUCCAGUUCCCUUUUUGUAGCUACUUCGUUUGACGGAGCCGUAGCCCGUGAAACUAAAGAACAUCAACCUAGAAGGGUGCCAAGCGAGCAGCCGAAACUAGAUAGAAUAGCCUUGAAGAAGUAAAUAAAUAAAUAGAAUAUGAUAAUUUUAAAGAAAAUAAAAUAAUUUCAAUUAUAAAAUUCAAUUUUUAAUUUGAUAAAAAUAAUAAUUAAACUCUUCAAACCCACGAACUGAUACAUGGACUUUCUAAAAUUUAAUAAUAAUUUUUUAAAACAUUAUUUUUUUAACUAUAUAAUAAAAAAAAUAGAUAAUUAUAUAAUUAAGUUUUAUUUUUAAAAAAAUACCCUGUUAGACCUACAAACAGAGAAAUACAAGGUUAUAUUUUCAAGCUGACAAUUAACUCUAUAAAGCUUAAAUUAGUUUUUUCAAAAGCAUUUUUUAUUUAACUAAAUGUUUUUAAAAUUAAACCAUAAUUCAUUGCUAGAAUAUUUUUUAAUAUCAAUCAUAUGUUAAAAUAUUUUUUAUACUGAAAUAACUAUAUAAAAAAUAAAUUAUUAACUCUAAAUUCAAUACAAAUUUGAAGAUUAAGUAAAAAAAAAAAACAAUAACAAAAAAAGAAAAAAAUUGCUCAAAAUAACACAAAAAAAAAAGCACACUAUAAAUUGCUAUCGUUGUCCAUUAAAUGGUGUAGUAUCAACUUCCGGCUUUACACUUCAUACUUAAUAAUAAUAAAGCACAAAUUAACUUUGAAAUCACCUGAAAAGUAGACUUACCUUUCCUUUAUUAUUAUUAUUUGACGUAUCAAUUAUCAAUGCACUCAGAGGUUGAACUAGUAUAUUGUUAUAUUUUCCAAAUUCAAGAGUCACCAAACAUUUCAAUUUAUGAGUGACUCUAUAUAAACACAAACACAUUGUGGAUUGUUUUCGAAAUAGAAUAGUUUACCGAAAGUUCUAGGACAAAAACACAUGUUAAAAAAAUAUUUGAAAAAUAAUAUAGUUUUAACAUGUACAUGUUUUAGAAUAUUAUUUUAUAUAUAAAUUUUAUCUGGAAUAAAAAUAUAUAUUUUCUGGUUCAAUUUUAAAUAAAAAUCAAUCAAAUAAUUUAUAAAAAUUCAAUAGCCAACAGAUAAGAUUUAAGAUUAUAAGGUUAAGAAAAAAGAGGUAAUUGGAAACACACUUUGACUACUGGAUAUACAUAAAAUUUUAGAUUAAUUUUUUAUAUGUUAAUUAAAUUAAGAGAUACAUUAUUUUUAUAUGAGAACUAUGAUUUCCAGGUUGUAGUCAAGCACUAUUCUCAAUAAAAAAAAAUUAAUAUAUGUUUCUUUUUCAAAACUUUUAUGAAAUCGAGUUAGAAUUCUAAAAUACCCCCUUGUAGUGAUAAACUUGUCAUUUAAAGGAUUGUCCAUUUUACACCAAGAAAUUGUAGGAACCAACACAAACUGGGUUCAUAAAAAUAAUUGUAAACAAGCAAGAUUACAAAGCAUAGAGCAAUGGCAGGAAACUCACCAGGGAUACGUUAAUAAGUUUGGUGACGUAGCAAUCAGCAAAUCAAACAUAUUAAAACACUAGAAUGUCGUGCGUAAGCAUGCAGAUCUGCUCUGUGCAUAGUUUUAAAAUCUUGUCUGGUUUAAGAUUUAGAUUUUGAGUUUUAAUUGGGUUAGUUGGGUUAAUUUUUUUUAAAAAAAUCAAAACAUCGUCGUUCUAGUAAAAAAAACAAAAAAAAUAAAAAUCAACGGGUUUGCAGUCGGGUCUUAACCAGAUCUUGCCGGGUCAAUUGAGUCACACCGAAUUUUUUCUUUCCCUUUUUUUUCUUGAACCUGGUCCGGUUCUUGUCAAAGAUCAGCCAGGUUAACCCGUCGAGUGAGGCCGGUUUUUAAAACUAUGGCUCGGUGCUCACGCUUCCCUCGUUGAUACUGUAGCUAACAAUACCCAUCCAUGCCAUUAUUGCUUCCAAUUUUGAUUGACAAUAAUAGUGCAACAUAUGAUAAAUGGCCUAGAUGUUGACCAGCUUAACAACAAAUGAACAAAAGAUGCAUGGUGAUAAAUAGUAAAGAAAGAUGGUGCGGCCUUCGGAACGACUAGAACUUUAAACCAUGACAAUGCAACUUCUGCUCAGUGAUCAUGUCAAUUUUUUCCACCAUCUCAGCCGUGAGAUAAUUCAUGGAAUCGCCAACCUCGCCUCGCCGAAAAAAGGCCUGAUGCUCCUCUCCAGAAUGCAGCCUUCCGAUACUAUUCACUUCUAAAUUGCUUAGGUUUUCAAAACUACACAGCUCCAAAAUUUCAUCCAAGACACCGCUGUUCUCUUCUUCGAGGGAAAACGGACACCCCAGGAAUUCAGACAGUCUCCUCAAUUGAACCCUGGGCUCCCUUUUCAUUUCCUCGUACUUCAAGAAAA
rnacentral:lncRNA from 1 species